rnacentral:lncRNA from 1 species
UCAAUCUCAAGUUCUAUCAAGAAUUUCAAUUGAAAUUAUACUAAAAUUGUAUUAUCUUGAUACAACUUUAUUUUGCCAUGUAAAAAAUUGUGUCUUGAUACGACUUUUCUAUAUGCAUAAUUUUUUUAAAAACAACCUUAUUUUAAUAAUAAAAAAAAAUUAUCUCACUUUCAUAAAAAAAACCACGAUGUUCGCACUAGACUUGUUCCGGGGACGAUUUAUCUGUGAAUGGGAUCUGGGAUUGAUGGUGGUGCUGGACCUCUUAAAAUUGACCAAAACAUAGGUCCAUUUCGGCUACGAGCUUGCGAUAACAAUGGCCUUGAGGAUGCUCCAAAUUGAGGAGACAGAACCAAAAUGGUGAAGAUGAUGAGAAGUAGAACUUUGAGGAAGGUUUUGUUGUGUGAGAAA